rnacentral:rRNA from 1 species
GACGAACGCUGGCGGCGUGCUUAACACAUGCAAGUCGAACGGAAAGGCCCUGCUUUUGUUGGUUUCUCGAUUGGCGAACGGGGGAGUAACACGUGAGUAACCUCCCCUUGACUGUGUGGUAACUUCAGGAAACUGGGGCUAAUACCGGGUAUGAGCUCCUGCUCCAUGUGGUGGAUUGGAAAGUUUCGGCUGUUGGGGAUGGACUCGCGGCUUAUCCGCUUGUUUGUGGGGUAGGGGCUUACCAGGGCUUUGACGGGUAGCCGGCAUGAGAGCGUGGCCGGGCACAAUGGGACUGAGAUACGGAGCAGACGGGUACGGGAGGCAGUAGUGGGGAAUCUGGCACAACGGGGGGAAGCCUGAUGUAGAAAUGCUGCGUGCGGGAUGCUGGGCGUCGGGUGGUAAACAGAUUUCGAAUGUGACGAAGAGUGAGUGACGGUAAUGGGUAAAGAAGCAACGGCUAACUACGUG